rnacentral:lncRNA from 1 species
CCCUCAGAGGAAGAGAAGGAAGAUGAAUCCAGCACAGUUUCAAAGGAGCUGCCUGGAAUAACAAAGAGCACAGAAAAUCACCUGCCUUCACCUACACAUCAUGAGCUGGUGAUGCAGGUGCCCAAGCUGCCAUCAGCACUAAACUCCAGAAUAGUCAAACCCAAUGGUGACAUCAAGCCAAGUCCAAAGCCCUCUCAGAAUGACAGCAAAGCCACAGAAGACAUCAGAGCUGAGGUCCGAGAACUCAGCAUGGCACUGGAUCUGCUCAAGACUCGGCAUGAGAAAGACAUUGAGGAGCUGAAGGAGGAGCUGAGAGAGGAGAGGGUCAAACGCAUGGCUCUGCAGGUACCAUCAAUAAUUAAAGAAAAUUAAGAUGUCCCCUUUUUAUUUUACUUCUGUCAAUGUGAUAUUUCAGUUUUUUUCUUUUUAAUUUGCACAUAUCCUGUUUUUACUUUGUCAUCAUGGGGUGCUGAGUGUAGACUUAGGAGGGAAAAAUUAAACAAUUUUAGCAUUAGGCUGCACCAUAAGAAAAUAUAAAAAGUGAAGGGGAUACUUUCUGAAUGCACUGUACCACUUUGUUGAAAUAAAUAAUCAUUUUUACAACUUAUCA